GCACGUUGUUGGUGACGCGAACCGUCUUUGUAUAUAAGGCCAUCUUCACGGCCAAGGUUGUAUCAGUUCAGUCGAGAAAGCCUUCCCGUUAGCAACCCUUAACCCAACGAAAGCAUCACCAUGAAAUUCCUGGUUGCGCUCUGCCUGUUCGCCAUGGUUAUGGCCGCCGUGUUCGCCCUUCCCGCCGUCAACGAUGAGUCCAUCAUUGCCGUGCCCGCCGAUGACGUCGUCAUGUCCGAGGCCGUGAACCCCGAGGACCCCCAGGGCAUCCACGGACUGUGGCUGCUCAAGAAGAAGCUGCUGUUGCUCGGUUAAAUAGGGACCUGAACUUCCUGAAAUGGAACGAAUUCAAACGCUACUGCUAAGAUGUUUUGUUUUUCAUUUAACACUUGCACUUGGAUCUGGAACCAAUAACCUACCUACUACAAACGAUACCUCGGUAGAAUGCUAUCGUUUAAUGCAGCCAUGUCAUUCUACGCGUUCAUUACAUUAACUUAUUGAGAAAUCGACUGACGAAACAGUAGAAAUGUUCAAAGGAGAACACCGACAGUGACAAACUAGAGAAUAGAUAACAGAUUGAAUAAACAAUUUAAACACGAAACAA